AACGAACGCUGGCGGCAUGCCUAACACAUGCAAGUCGAACGAGACCUUCGGGCUUAGUGGCGCUCCUGUGCGUAACGCCUUGGAACCUUCCCUUAGUUUCGGAAUAACUCCCUCAAGGGGGUGCUCAUACCUCAUAAUGUCCUCCCACCUAAGAUUUAUCGCCUCUGGUUGGGCCCUCGUUCGAUUAGCUAGUUGGUAGGGUAAAAGCCUACCAAUGCGCCGAUGCCUGGCUGGUUUGAUAGGAUGAUCGUCCGCACUGGUCCUGAGACACGGCCCAGACUGCUACGCGAGGCAGCAGUGGGGAAUAUUAGAAAAGGGGCGAAAGCCUGAUCCAGCAAUGGCGGGUAGGUGAUUAAGGCCUUAGUGUUGUAAAUCUGUUUUACCCGGAAUGUUAGUGACGGUACCGGGAGAAGAAGCUCCGGCUAACUCCGUG
rnacentral:rRNA from 1 species